rnacentral:rRNA from 1 species
AACUCUUAGCGGUGGAACUCGGCUCGUGCGUCGAUGAAGAACGCAGCUAGCUGCAGAACUAAUGUGAAUUGCAGGACACAUUGAUCAUCGACACUUCGAACGCACCUUGCGGCCCCCGGGUUCCUCCCGGCUACGCCUGUCUGAGGGUCG